rnacentral:rRNA from 1 species
UACGUAGGGUGCGAGCGUUAAUCGGAAUUACUGGGCGUAAAGCGUGCGCAGGCUGUUUUGUAAGUCAGAUGUGAAAUCCCUGAGCUCAACUUAGGAACUGCGUUUGAAACUACAAGACUAGAAUAUGUCAGAGGGGGGUAGAAUUCCACGUGUAGAGGUGAAAUUCGUAGAUAUCGGGAGGAAUACCAGUGGCGAAAGCGCUGACCUGGACGAAGAUUGACGCUGAGGUGCGAAAGCGCGGGGAGCAAACAGG